rnacentral:misc_RNA from 1 species
GACGAACCGUCCAAACGUUAUUCGGAAUCAUUGGGCUUAAAGGGUGCGUAGGCGGUGCAGAAAGUUGGGUGUGAAAUCCCUCGGCUCAACCGAGGAACUGCGCCCAAAACUACUGUGCUUGAGGAAGACAGAGGUGAGCGGAACUAAGGGUGGAGCGGUGAAAUGCGUUGAUAUCCUUAGGAACACCGGUGGCGAAAGCGGCUCACUGGGUCUUUUCUGACGCUGAGGCACGAAAGCUAGGGGAGCGAACGGG